UACAGAGGGUGCGAGCGUUGUCCGGAAUCACUGGGCGUAAAGGGCGCGUAGGUGGCGCUGCAAGUCGGUGGUGAAAGCUCGACGCUUAACGUCGAGUCGGCCAUCGAAACUGCAGGGCUCGAGCACUGUAGGGGCAGAUGGAAUUCCCGGUGUAGCGGUGAAAUGCGCAGAGAUCGGGAGGAACACCCGUAGCGAAGGCGGCACUCUGGGCCGGUACUGACGCUGAGGAGCGAAAGCGUGGGGAGCAAACAGG
rnacentral:rRNA from 1 species